AUGGGUGUAAAGCUCCGGCGGUGCAGGAUGAGCCCGCGGCCUAUCAGCUUGUUGGUGAGGUAGUGGGCUCACCAAGGCGACGACGGGUAGCCGGCCUGAGAGGGCGACCGGCCACACUGGGACUGAGACACGGCCCAGACUCCUACGGGAGGCAGCAGUGGGGAAUAUUGCACAAUGGGCGAAAGCCUGAUGCAGCGACGCCGCGUGAGGGAUGACGGCCUUCGGGUUGUAAACCUCUUUCAGCAGGGAAGAAGCGAAAGUGACGGUACCUGCAGAAGAAGCGCCGGCUAACUACGUGCCAGCAGCCGCGGUAAUACGUAGGGCGCAAGCGUUGUCCGGAAUUAUUGGGCGUAAAGAGCUCGUAGGCGGCUUGUCACGUCGGUUGUGAAAGCCCGGGGCUUAACCCCGGGUCUGCAGUCGAUACGGGCAGGCUAGAGUUCGGUAGGGGAGAUCGGAAUUCCUGGUGUAGCGGUGAAAUGCGCAGAUAUCAGGAGGAACACCGGUGGCGAAGGCGGAUCUCUGGGCCGAUACUGACGCUGAGGAGCGAAAGCGUGGGGAGCGAACAGGAUUAGAUACCCUGGUAGUCCACCCCGUAAUCGGUAAGCACUAGGUGUGGGCAACAUUCCACGUUGUCCGUGCCGCAGCUAACGCAGUAAGGCCCCGCCCUGGGAUUUCGCCU
rnacentral:rRNA from 1 species